rnacentral:lncRNA from 1 species
CGACACUAUGUUCAUCAGACAUUUUUUAUUUGUUUUCAUGAGUGGAAUCUGCCUUGGAGGUUUGUCGGUGGACUUUGGAAACACUCUGUAUAUAAAUGUGCCACAAUAUAAUACUCAAAAGCAGGACUUUAUUUUUUUACCGAAACAUAGGAUGGAGAAAUCACUGAGAUCUUUCUGGAAUAGAGCAGCAAGAAGUUAUAAUGUGGGAUAUAACUUGGAAUAGCAAGGGGGGUGCCUGCACUUACAUUUUUAUGUAGGGCAUAUUUAAUAAAUAAAUAAAAUAGCAAGCAUAUGAUAAGUUGUAAAAGAUUCAUAAGUUACAAUGGGAUAGUUAGGUGCUAAUUAUGCACCUGUAAUUCUUAAUAAUAAUUAAAAUGUUAAAAAUUAUAACCGUAAAAAUAAAGAUCAUUCGAUAAUUUUUUAAUUGGUUAAAUAAUAAUUUAUAACAAAAGAUUUUAAUGAAUAUUGAUAAAAAUAUAAAAGCUCUAUGCUAAAAUGCCCCCAAAGAGCAGUUGCAAACAUUAGUGGAAAAUAAAAAAAAAUUUGUAAUUCUUUAACCAUAAUAAUUGUAUUUCCAAUAAGUAUGAGUCAGAAUUUGGAACUAUUUUUAGUACUCAGAUGAGUUCA